rnacentral:rRNA from 1 species
UUGAGGGAAGUAGUCCGUCUUCCUCUGCCCCAGGAUCCUGACAUUGUUUCUUGGAGUCUUUCUCCUUUGGGAGAAUUCUCCGUUAGUUCGGCUUAUCAGGCGCUAUGCCAGCUGCCGGUUCUCCAAUGGUUAUCCCCAUUGUGGAAGGCGUCGAUGCCCCUGAAGAUCAAGAUUUUCGUGUGGCAGCUUCUCAGAGAUCGUUUACCUCCGGGGAAUGAGGUGUUGAAACGCCAUGGUCCGGGCAAUGGCCUUUGCCCCUUUCUCGUGCCAGAAAUGGGAACACACAUUUUGUUCUCAUGCGUAGCAGCACAUGCACUUUGGUACUUUGUUCGUGAAGCUCUGGGACCGGAAUGGGAGGCCCAUGACCUUGCAGAGUUUCUGCAGGUGAGGGCCACUCAGGUUGGCCAUAAGCGCCGACUGUUUUGGCUCAUCUUCGCGGCUAUGAUGUAGACUCUUUGGACUACUCGCAAUAAGAUGGUGAUUGAGCGGGUGUUCCCGCGGCGUGCUUCUGACUCGUUCUUCAAAUUUCUUGCCUUCUUGCAGCACUGGCAUCCGCUCGCUAGGCCGAGAGAUCAUGACCGGCUUCAGCUCUAUCUGGACGCUCUGCUGUCUUCCGCGUGUCGGCUCUCCGAUCGUUCUCCUGCGUCGUAG